UUCGGUUCUUUACAUUCUUUGUGAUUUUCUUUUUUUUUUCCUUCCUUUUCUCUCUCUUUUAUUUUUUUUUUUUUUGAUUGUUGUUUUCCUGAGUUGUUGCAUGUUACUGUCCAUGAUUUGUUUGUGUAAGUAUUAAUAUGUUUUCCUUCACAGGAAGGGUUUUGUUCACUGUCCAACAUCUAAAUGUUUUUAUCUGUGUCAGACAGUAGAAGACCAUUCAUCCCUGUGGGAAGAUUGUGGAGUGAGUAAUGGAGAAAAACAAACAAACCCUGGCCCUGGAGUCAGAAGGCACAAGGUUUAUUGAGUCUUGGCUCCAGCCCUUAAGUGGUUGUGUGACUUUUGGCAAGGGAUUUCUUCCUGCUCUGUGCCUCAGUUUCCCUAUCUGUAAAAACGAAAAAGAUAGAAGUGGAUGAUUGAUUUCCAAGGUCUCUGCCACAGGUUAUGAAAUAGAAUUAUACAUGUGUGUUAUAGUCAUUAUACACACACAUAUGUGCUCUGAAUUGAUCUUACAUUCACAUUCUAAUGCAUAGCAAUUCUUACUUAAAAGCAAGGAGCCCAGAAUUGAAAUCUGGCUUCUGAUUUUAUUUACUUAUUAGUAGAUACAAACUCUUAGAAAUUUAGCAAAGGCACAGGCUCGGGGCAGCUAAGUGGCACAGGGGAAAGAGAAUCAGGCCUGGAAAAGAGAGGACCUGGGUUCAAAUGUGACCUCAAGACACUUCAUAGCUGUGUGACCAAGGGCAAAUCACUUCAGCUGAAUUACCUAAACCUUGCCCUUCUAUCUUAAGAGUUGUUACUAAAAGAGAAAGUAAGGGUUUAAAAGAAAAGAUGCAGACUUUCUGGCUACAAAGGAUCCAAAGCAAGAUAAAAAUGGUAUCCAAAGGAAUUAAAUAAGUUCUACCUCUCUUUUCCAUUCUAUUUAGUGCUUGGUUUGCCCCAGAAUUGCAGGCAAAGAAUUGCCAGGCGCAUUUACUUCCAGCCGGGGUUUUUGAGGGAGAGCAUCCUGGCCAAAUGGGUAGAGUGAGCAAAAUCUUUUUGGGUGAGGUCUAAUUUCCAAAAGCUGCCUGUGAGACUGCCCAUAAGAUUGCAUAUUCUAUCUCUGUAAAUCUUAGAGAGCAUUGCAUCAACCCACUUUGUUUUACAAAUGGAACGGAGCCCCAGAGAAGGAAAAUGACGUUUCAGUUUUUCAGUAUUUAGUGGCAAUGCAGAGACUAGAAUCCAAGGCUCCUUCCUUCUAGUCCUCUCUAUUUUCUGUUAUGCUCAACUGUCAUUUAGCAUCUUAAGAAUUGGAAAUUCUAUCAAGUCCUCAUUCUAGUUCCCUAUGGCCUUGGAAAAAAAUGUUUGGGGUGUGUUUUUUCCCCUGUCUCCUGAACUGUAGAGCUCUCUAUCUACACUCUGUGACUAUCAAUGGCUUAAAAUCUUUGAUGAAUAGAAAUUAAAGAGAGAGGUUACACUGAAGAGUCUAGGGUGGACCAACUUGUAUUUCCUGAGACGUGUUAAAUCCCAAAGAUUCAGUGAAUGGAGGGGUGUUUCCUCAGCAAAGCUCCCAGCCUCUCUCCGACUCGGUCUUUAAACACGUGCAAAGCCCCUGUGGAUUAAGCAUGGUGGCCAUGGAGGGAUGCCACGUCUGGAAAGCUGACAUCUUGCUGAUGACCCUGGCGAAGCUAGAGAGCCUAGAGUUUGCCCUAUGGGAUUUAAGAAAUAACAGUUGUUAUUCUUGA